UCCACCAUCGUUGAUCCAAUCAUCCUCCGCUCAACCAUCACCGAUGGAAUCAUCCUCCACUCCACCUCACUGUCAACAACGUCCCCUGAAUCACAUGGCAACGAUUGCACUUCGCUACCGUCCGUUCGCACCACCACUCCGUCACCGGAACACUCGCAGUCAUCACUGACCACUCGUUUCAAGCCCUCAGACGAUGGCAAGAACAGAACAUCAAAAGUGCAAACGUGGUAUACUCACACUUCAUCUUUAGAUGAUGUUGAAAUUAGUGGCUGAAGAUUCCGAGUUGAUGCCUUCAAAAAGGUUCAAGGAAUCAAAAAACACCAACGACCUGGUAGCUACUCGAUGAAAUGUGUCAUCCACGUUUGCCGCAACCACCAAAGUUGGGUUGGAUUUUAGAUCGCCACGACUGCAUAGAAAUAAGAGAUAAUCUGUGUAGGAAGCAUCGUAGACGAGCCCAGGAUCAGCUGCUUUUUCUGGUCUGAAAUGGCCCGACCCAUAUUGAAAUAGAUAUGCCUUGUUGCCUGAUGCAUCAGUUAUUUGUGUCCCAACGUUAACGGAGCAGGUUUAACUUGUAAUACAGUUUUCCCCAGAUAAAUAUACGCUGUUCGGGUUUUUGUCGAAUUUAUGUAUUGAAUAAUUUUUAUCGCAUCAUCUGAUGUAACUGCAGUUGCUGGAAGAACAUGAGCGUCUACGGUUAACUCAGCUCCAUUGGUCGGGCUGUUGCCUAAAACGUAACCUAUCCCACCGGCCCGUUUCAGUUCCAUCCCUUUACCGGCCAGCAAACUUUGUAGAUGGCAAGGCGGGCCAUUGGUGCACCACCAAAAGCGGUCCCAUGGGAAAAUCCACCAAGGGAUGACGCGGCCUCCCACCGUUGAUGCCGUGUGGGUCCCAUGCCCAUCCAUGUCAUGAGGGGACGGGCUAUCAGUGGUGGUGUUUAGAGGCCCGUAUCGUGCUUCAUAACCUUUGAGAUAGUAUCGGGCCCCUAUCAGUUUUCUGUCAUAACACAUAGUUAUCAUAAGAUUCACGUUUACUAUAUUUCAUAUGUUAUUCAAAUUUUUUAUUCAAAGUCAAACAUGAAUUAUUUGAUAGUAUUUCAAUUAUUUGGUUGAUUAUUGCUUAUUUAAAUUUUAUAUUUGUGAUCGAACAUUGUAAAUUGGGAUAUGAGAUGAUAAAAUCCGACUUUUGGGAGGGACCAAACAUUAUGGCCUAAGGUACAAAUGAAAGAAGCAUAGGUCACAAGAUGCACAAAAAAAUUGCAUCUUUGUUUUGCAUUACUUUGUAGCAAGCUGUACGUAUCUGAAUACCCUUUUAGGCUUUUAGCAGGUAGUAAGAGAGCUUUAGCUUGGUGCAACUUGUUUUGACCUUUAUUAUAAUAUAAUGCUCAAGGUUAAUUCCACAAAUAGUCCAUGUGGGUUGACUAAUUUCAUGCAUUUUAUAGUUCAUAUGGUUUAAAAAAUUUAGGGUUAUUUACAUGAAUAGUCCCUGAGGCUUAUCUCAAUUGUUAAUGGCACCUCUAUGAUUGUUUUAAUGUGCAGGUAGUUGAUAAGCUUCAAUGGUAAUGGAGAUGGUGACACGGUAGGGAGUUAUUUUUGUGAGGUCCCUUUGUUCAAUGGAUUUUGACAAAGGUUGUCUCUGUUUUGGUUCACUCAUGAUGGUUGUUAAUCAUGACCGUGGGUUUGGGAAUAAGCAAGCUGUGUUUGGUGACAACAGUUCUUUGGCUCCAGCAAGUGUUUGUAUUGGUAUGUUUUUCAUCACCCAUAUAUACAUGUACUUAAGUAAUUCUCACAGCGUAUUAUAGGAGAAGCUGAAUGAGGUUGGAUACCGAUGUAAAAUUUAAGAAAGAAAGCAUGUAAAAUAGGUCAAAUAAACAGUUAGAAAUGAGAUCAACGGAUGCUCAGUUCCAAACACGGGUCCGAAUGGUGUUUUGGAGUAAGUUGGCAGUGCCUAAGAUACACUGCAUCCGACUGCCAUGGCUUUAGCAACUAGAGGCCUGGUGUAUGGGGACAGUACAUGCCCUAUGUGCGGUGUGGCAGACGAGACGGCUGACCAUCUAUUAGCCAACUGUAUGACUACCAACACAGUUUGUUGGAUGGUGUGCGUUUGGGAUAAAUCCCGAUGCCCAGCAGCUUUGAAAUUGUGAAGACGUUACUCGAUCAUGCCCAUAAUGUUGGCAGUUCAACUAAGGAGAAAUAAGUCAUCUAUGUUAUGUUUCUACUGACUUUCUGUAGUCAGCAGAGAAAGGGUGAGAUUAGUCUUGAGAAAUUGAGUCAGAUUGAAAAGUUGAACUUAGUUAUCAAGGAGCUCGUUAAGGAAAAAGAUGAAGAAAAAGAAAGGUUCAAUGGAAUUAUUGCGGGGUUGUUGGCUGAAAAAGAAAAAGAUAAGGUGGAUAAAGAUGUUAUGCUUGAUAGGAUGUCACAAAUUGAAGCUAUGUUAACAGCUACAGUUCGAAGAUAGGCUAUAAACACUUGGUUUUGAAUGUUUAGAUGUUUAUCUUAUUAGGAUAAUUUUAGUUAUUUUAUGUUUUAGUUGGUAUUUUUAUAUGCUUUUGAAAACAAGAUGUUUUAUAUAAUUUUGGGAUUUUAUUA